rnacentral:rRNA from 1 species
UACGGAGGGGGCUAGCGUUGUUCGGAAUUACUGGGCGUAAAGCGCACGUAGGCGGCUUUGUAAGUUAGAGGUGAAAGCCCGGGGCUCAACUCCGGAAUUGCCUUUAAGACUGCAUCGCUUGAGUUGUGGAGAGGUAAGUGGAAUUCCGAGUGUAGAGGUGAAAUUCGUAGAUAUUCGGAAGAACACCAGUGGCGAAGGCGACUUACUGGACACAUACUGACGCUGAGGUGCGAAAGCGUGGGGAGCAAACAGG